UACGAAGGGGGGCUAGCGUUGUUCGGAAUUACUGGGCGUAAAGCGUGCGCAGGCGGCUUCUCAAGUCAGGGGUGAAAGCCCAGAGCUCAACUCUGGAAUUGCCUUUGAGACUGAGUGGCUUGAGUACGAGAGAGGUGAGUGGAAUUCCCAGUGUAGAGGUGAAAUUCGUAGAUAUUGGGGAAGAACACCGGUGGCGAAGGGCGGGCUCACUGGCUCGUAACUGACGCUCAUGCACGACAGCGUGGGGAUCAAACAGGAUAGAUACCCGUGGUAAGCUCCAUGACCCAAGUCCUACGUGCUACCGGUAAC
rnacentral:rRNA from 1 species